rnacentral:lncRNA from 1 species
UCACCUCCCUAGAGCCUCUGCUUCCUCAUCCAAGACUGGGGGUAUAGCUGUGCUCACCCACUAACACUGCUGUAUUGUUUAACGUAAAGGCAAGAUGAGAACAUGGAGUUUCAACCUGAAAGGCAUUGAGCACGUUGGUUGUCAUUACUGUUGGGUGACUUCCUACUUUCCCUGCGUACCUCUGAAAGGAGAACUAUUUUGCUUAUUACUGAGUUGCAAUUUCCUUCUAUAUUCUGAAUACAAAUUCAUCAUCAGAUAUAUGUGUUGUGAAGUUUUCUUCGAGGAUUUUCCAGGGUUGCAUCUCUGUGGCUUAGACGUUGGCCACUUCAUCUUGGCAUGACUAUUAUAUAACAGGAGGAUGGAGAAAUGGCCGG